rnacentral:rRNA from 1 species
UACGAAGGGGGCUAGCGUUGUUCGGAAUUACUGGGCGUAAAGCGCGCGCAGGCGGUCUUCCAAGUCAGUGGUGAAAGCCCGGAGCUCAACUCCGGAACUGCCAUUGAAACUGUUGGACUUGAGUACGAGAGAGGUGAGUGGAAUUCCCAGUGUAGAGGUGAAAUUCGUAGAUAUCGGGAGGAACACCUGUGGCGAAAGCGGCUCACUGGACCACAACUGACGCUGAGGCGCGAAAGCCAGGGUAGCGAACGGG